UACGUAGGGUGCGAGCGUUGUCCGGAAUUACUGGGCGUAAAGAGCUCGUAGGUGGUUUGUCGCGUUUUCGUGAAAACUCACAGCUUAACUGUGGGCGUGCGGGCGAUACGGGCAGACUGGAGUACUGCAGGGGAGACUGGAAUUCCUGGUGUAGCGGUGGAAUGCGCAGAUAUCAGGAGGAACACCGGUGGCGAAGGCGGGUCUCUGGGCAGUAACUGACGCUGAGGAGCGAAAGCGUGGGGAGCGAACAGG
rnacentral:rRNA from 1 species